UCGCUUGUCUCAAAGAUUAAGCCAUGCACGUCUAAGUACUCGCCUUGUCUAUAAAGUGAAACCGCGAAUGGCUCAUUAAAUCAGUUAUGGUUCACUAGACAGUACCUCAUCCUACUCGGAUAACUGUGGUAAUUCUAGAGCUAAUACAUGCAACUAGGCCCCGCCCGGCGUGCCGCCUUGUGCGUCGCGUCGGAAAGGGCGCCAUUAUCAGCCCAAAACCGACCGGGUCGCUUCCCCCGCCCUUUCAACGGGGCGGGAAGCUCCCGUCCUUAUUCCCUUUGACGACUCUGGAUAACCUGUCAGCGGAUCGCUGGGUAACUAGGUCACCGGGGGUUCACUCUCCCGGCCGAUCUACAGCGACCAGUCUUUCAAAUGUCUGCCUUAUCAACUGUCGACGGUAGGUCAGAUGCCUACCGUGGUCGUAACGGGUGACGGGGAAUCAGGGUUCGAUUCCGGAGAGGGAGCCUGAGAAACGGCUACCACAUCCAAGGAAGGCAGCAGGCACGCAAAUUACCCAAUCCCAGCACUGGGAGGUAGUGACGAAAAAUAACGAUACGGGACUCUUAACGAGGCCUCGUAAUCGGAAUGAGUCCGCUCUAAAUCCUUUAACGAGGAUCUAUCGGAGGGCAAGUCUGGUGCCAGCAGCCGCGGUAAUUCCAGCUCCGAUAGCGUAUAUUAAAGUUGCUGCGGUUAAAAAGCUCGUAGUUGGAUUUGGGUUUUCGGGCCGGCGGGCCGCCGCCUUCGAGCGGCGCGUUUCCCGCCGCGCCCCCGGAACCGCACGGUCGCAGAGGCCCCCGCGGUGCUCUUGAGUGAGUGUCCGCGGUCUCGGGUCGCCGAACGUUUACUUUGAAAAAAUUAGAGUGCUCCAGGCAGGCCGGAUAAAGCGUUUUUAAACCCGCGCCUGAAUAGUCACGCAUGGAAUAAUGAAAGAGGACCGGUGGUCCUAUUUUGUUGGUUUUAAGGAUUUUCCGCCGUCAUGAUUAAGAGGGACGGCCGGGGGCAUUCGUACCGCGGCGCGAGAGGUGAAAUUCUAGGACCGUCGCGAGACGAACCGUUGCGAAAGCAUUUGCCAAGAAUGUUUUCCUUAAUCAAGAACGAAAGUCAGAGGUUCGAAGGCGAUCAGAUACCGCCCUAGUUCUGACCGUAAACGAUGCCACCUGACGAUCCGCCAGGGUUACUACCAUGACUCGGCGGGCAGUCCCCGGGAAACCCAAGCCUUCGGGUUCCGGGGGAAGUAUGGUUGCAAAGCUGAAACUUAAAGGAAUUGACGGAAGGGCACCACCAGGAGUGGAGCCUGCGGCUUAAUUUGACUCAACACGGGGAACCUCACCCGGCCCGGACACCGCGAGGAUUGACAGAUUGAGAGCUCUUUCUCGAUUCGGUGGGUGGUGGUGCAUGGCCGUUCUUAGUUGGUGGAGCGAUUUGUCUGGUUAAUUCCGAUAACGAACGAGACUCUAGCCGGUUAAGUAGCCCGAGCGGUUUUUGAUCUUUGCCGUUCAUCCCCGUUCGACCUUUGCGUCGUCCCCCUUUUUUCGUUUUCGGGCUCCGUCUCUGUCCGUUUUUUUCCGUUUCUCUUCCGUUUCCUGGCGAUCGUCCGUCGUCCCGUGUUCGAUUCGUUGGACACGGGUGCCGACGGCGGUCGUUUGGGUUUCGAAGGGGGCGGAGGCGGCUGAACGGAUCCCGUGGCAAGGAGGGGGGUAUACGCUCGGUCGUUUCGCGGGGUGAAAGCAUAACCGAAGGCCGCCGGCUUUUAAGGAAGCUUCUUAGAGGGACGAGCGGCGUUCAGCCGCCCGAGAUUGAGCGAUAACAGGUCUGUGAUGCCCUUAGAUGUCCGGGGCCGCACGCGCGCUACACUGAAGGGUUCAGCGUGCUAGUUUCUCCCGGGCCGUCAGGCUCGGGGAACCCGUUGAAACCCUUUCGUGCUAGGGACAGGGACUUGCAAUUGUGUCCCUCCAACGAGGAAUUCCCAGUAAGCGCGAGUCAUCAGCUCGCGUUGAUUACGUCCCUGCCCUUUGUACACACCGCCCGUCGCUACUACCGAUUGAACGAUUUAGUGAGGUCUUCGGACCGGUGGUCGUUCCGCGAUCGGGUCAGGACUGGGUCUCGCGCCCUUUCCUCCCGCGCGGGGUCGGCCGGCCGGGAAGAUGCCCGAACUUGAUCGUUUAGAGGAAGA
rnacentral:rRNA from 1 species